AUUACAGCAGGAAUAAAUGUACGCAGUUUUGUUGAACUAAUGAUCAAUAAAGUAGAGGCCAUAUUGGAGUCAAACAAAACCAAAAAGAUUGUUGUUAUACCACUGAAAGAUCUAACAAACAAUGAUUUUGUUGAACAUUAUCUUUCUGGGUAUGAGGAGAUCAAAGCUAG